rnacentral:rRNA from 1 species
GAUGAACGCUAGCGGCAGGCUUAAUACAUGCAAGUCGAGGGGCAGCAUGCUUGUAGCAAUACAGGUGAUGGCGACCGGCAAACGGGUGCGGAACACGUACAGAACCUUCCUUCGAGCGGGGAAUAGCCCAGAGAAAUUUGGAUUAAUACCCCAUAGUAAGGUGAAGAGGUAUCUCUUUACUUUUAAAGAUUUAUCACUUGAAGAUGGCUGUGCGGCUGAUUAGGUAGUUGGCGGGGUAACGGCCCACCAAGCCGACGAUCAGUAACUGGUGUGAGAGCACGACCAGUCACACGGGCACUGAGACACGGGCCCGACUCCUACGGGAGGCAGCAGUAAGGAAUAUUGGUCAAUGGACGCAAGUCUGAACCAGCCAUGCCGCGUGGAGGAUGAAGGUCCUCUGGAUUGUAAACUUCUUUUAUAUGGGACGAAAAAAGGCUUUUCUAAGUCAACUGACGGUACCAUAUGAAUAAGCACCGGCUAACUCCGUGCCAGCCGCCGCCGUAAAAC